rnacentral:tRNA from 1 species
GGCGCCAUGGCCAAGCGGUAAGGCAAAGCUCUGCAAAAGCUUCAUUCUCCAGUUCGAUUCUGGAUGGCGCCUCCA